rnacentral:rRNA from 1 species
CGGGCGGUAUGCUUAACACAUGCAAGUCGAACGAAAGUUUAUACUUUAGUGGCGGACGGGUGAGUAAUACGUGAGAAUCUGCCUUUAGGAAGGGAAUAACAUUUAGAAAUGAUUGCUAAUGCCCUAUGUGCCCUUAUGGUGAAAGGAGUAAUCCGCCUGAAGAGGAGCUCACGCCUGAUUAGCUAGUUGGUAAGAUAAAAGCUUACCAAGGCGACGAUCAGUAGCUGGUUUGAGAGGAUGAUCAGCCACACUGGAACUGAGACACGGUCCAGACUUCUACGGAAGGCAGCAGUUGGGAAUUUUCCGCAAUGGGCGAAAGCCUGACGGAGCAAUACCGCGUGAGGGAAGAAUGCCUGUGGGUUGUAAACCUCUUUUCUUAAGGAAGAAGUUCUGACGGUACUUAAGGAAUAAGCAUCGGCUAACUCCGUGCCAGCAGCCGCGGUAAU